AAUUCCUUAAAAUAGACAAUAACAUGCGGAACAUCAACUCAACUGUUUUUGGACGGGUUUCCUUCUCUUUCGACCAGCGUACAGACACUCUCCCGGUGGAAUCAUCAUCUGGUGGCGGAUUGAAUCUCAUUGACCCCCCCCCCCCUUGCGUCUUUCGCACGCAACCUUCCUCGGCACGCGAGGAGGAGGGCUCCCGUGAGCUCAUCCACAAGCACGCGCUUCCUCUGGGGACUCGGAGCGGCGGACGCGCCAUCCUCCUUCAGGGACGGUUACAACGGACCGCGCCUCGCAACGUGCGGAUGGAGAAUGAAGUGGUCGGGAUGUAUUCGGUUCAGCUUUGUUUUGUUGACGUGUGAUACCAGUUGACCAAUUCACUCUUUUUCAAAGAACCCUCCUCAUCGACUGUGGAUGGAGAAAUAAAAAUCAACGCCAUCUCCCACUGAAACGUAUUCAAAGCAUUCGCCUCAACUUACAUUAAAGAUUUACAUUGCAAAAUGUUCUUCCUUGAUCUAAUGACCACAUUAAAAAAAACAGAUCCUCCACAAAGCAACAUCAGCAUGCAUGCAUAUUAAAUGGUUAAACCGAUUAAAGUGGUUGCCCACCUGAAAGUAAACCCAAA